CCUACGGGAGGCAGCAGUAGGGAGUUUUCGGCAAUGGGGGGAACCCUGACCGAGCAACGCCGCGUGAAGGAAGAAGGAAUUCGUUCUGUACACUUCUGUUAUAAAGGAAGAAAGACGGAUGGAGGAAAUGACAUCCGAGUGACGGUACUUUAUGAGAAAGCCACGGCUAACUACGUGCCAGCAGCCGCGGUAAUACGUAGGUGGCAAGCGUUAUCCGGAAUUAUUGGGUGUAAAGAGGGAGCAGGCGGCAACAGAGGUCUGUGGGGAAAGAGUGAAGCUUAACUUCAGUAAGGCAGAGAAAGCGGGGAGAUAGAGAGCAGGAGAGGAUCGUGGAAGUCCGAG
rnacentral:rRNA from 1 species